UUUGUGGAGAGUUUGAUCCUGGCUCAGGACGAACGCUGGCGGCAUGCCUAACACAUGCAAGUCGAACGGAGCACGGAUACUUCGGUGGAAGUGCUUAGUGGCGGACGGGUGAGUAACGCGUGGAUAACCUGCCUGAGAGUGGGGGAUAACAGCCCGAAAGGGCUGCUAAUACCGCAUAACGUUGUCUGGGGACAUCCCCGGACAACCAAAGGAGCAAUCCGCUCUUGGAUGGGUCCGCGUCCGAUUAGCUAGUUGGUAGGGUAACGGCCUACCAAGGCGACGAUCGGUAGCCGGCCUGAGAGGGUGAACGGCCACACUGGGACUGAGACACGGCCCAGACUCCUACGGGAGGCAGCAGUGGGGAAUCUUCCGCAAUGGGCGAAAGCCUGACGGAGCAAUGCCGCGUGGGGGAUGAAGGUCUUCGGAUUGUAAACCCUUGUCUUCGGGGAAGAAGUAAUGACGGUACCUGAGGAGGAAGCCCCGGCUAACUACGUGCCAGCAGCCGCGGUAAUACGUAGGGGGCAAGCGUUGUCC
rnacentral:rRNA from 1 species